CAAUAGCGUAUAUUAAAGUUGUUGCAGUUAAAAAGCUCGUAGUUGGAUUUCUGGUUGAAGCGACCGGUCGGGCGUUGAUUCGUCUGCACUGGAGUCGGUUUUGGUCAUCCUCUAGGAAAGUGCGUCUGGUAUUAAGUUAUCGGGCGUAUGAUCCUGGUCUUUUACUGUGAAAAAAUUAGAGUGUUUAAAGCAGGCCUUCGCCUUGAAUACAUUAGCAUGGAAUAAUAAGAUAGGACUUUGGUCUAUUUUGUUGGUUUGCAGACCGAAGUAAUGAUUAAUAGGGAUAGUUGGGGGUAUUUAUAUUCCGAUGUCAGAGGUGAAAUUCUUAGAUUUUCGGAAGAUAAACUUAUGCGAAAGCAUUUACCAAGGAUGUUUUCAUUA
rnacentral:rRNA from 1 species